rnacentral:lncRNA from 1 species
AUGAACCCUCCAGCUUGGUGGAUGUGCUGGAGUGAAUCAGAAAGGGCAAGUUUCCUGAAGGCCUGGGUCACCAGCGUGGAAAGCUGUGCCACUGCAUGCGUGCCCCUCUCUGUCGGUCGGCACGAGGUCCCUGCAGGUGCCUGCUCUCUGUGCACCUGGGAACAGCAACUGCAAACCCGAGUGGGUGCCUGCCAUCACCCAACAUCCCUCCCAUGUGAAGUAAUGCCCUCCUCAUCCCGCAAAGAAAUGCAGGGAAAAUGGCUCUCUGCCACAUCUUGCCUGAAGACCAUACAUAUAUCACUGGAGGUCAGAGGAAGAGAUGACACACGCUGGCAUCAGGCAGGAUUUAUGGAAAGCUGCUCCUGUGACAGUCGUCUCCUACAUGACCUCUUGCAGUUCCUUCUAAGACUUCUUUCUUUUACUCCUUGUAAAUAUUCCUGGUGCAGAGGCAUUGAAAUAUUACAAAAAAAUAUUUGUAUACUCAUAAGGCAGAUGGAUGUGCUAAUUUCUCCAUGA